rnacentral:tRNA from 1 species
AGAUUAUAGCUUAAAAUAAAGCAUUUUGUUUACACCAAAAAAAUAUUUGUUUACCCAAAUUAUUCUGA